rnacentral:rRNA from 1 species
AACGAACGCUGGCGGCAUGCCUAACACAUGCAAGUCGAACGAGCCCUUCGGGUCUAGUGGCGCACGGGUGCGUAACGCGUGGGAACCUGCCCUUAGGGUCGGCAUAACUACCCGAAAGGGGUGCUAAUACCGGAUAAUGUCUUCGGCCCAAGGAUUUAUCGCCUUUGGAUGGGCCCGCGUUGGAUUCGCUAGUUGGUAGGGUAAAAGCCUACCAAGGCGACGAUUCAUAGCUGGUCUGAGAGGAUGCUCAGCAACACUGGGACUGAGACACGGCCCAGACUCCUACGGGAGGCAGCAGUGGGGAAUAGUGGACAAUGGGCGAAAGGCUGAUCCAGCAAUGCCGCGUGAGUGAUGAAGGCCUUAGAGUUGUAAAGCGCUUUUACCCGGGAUGAUAAUGACAGUACCGGGAGAAUAAGCUCCGGCUAACUCCGUG